CCGCAGCUGUCGGGACCCGCGCAGUGUGGGGGGAGCGCGCGGCGAGGUCGGUCGGGGCGGCUCGCCGGGGCGUCGCGUUGUUCCCCGGUGGGACGCUGCCGUGCCCGGCCGGAGCCGCUGAGCGGGCCCGGUCCAAAGCCCCAAGGCUCCUGCUGGCCCCGGCGGGCUUAGGAGCGAGCCCCGGCCGUGCAGCGGGCUCUCCGGUGGCGGUGCAGGUCGUUCCCGGCGACGUGGGUAAUAAUGGACCGUCCCUGGUAGUGGGGCUGCGGGGAGCCCCCUGCCCUCCGCUGCACCCGAAUUGAAACGGGGGGGGGGAGCUAGCCACCUGCACACGGGGACACCCACACCAGACCCCCGAGGAGGCAGCUGCUACCAGGCCUGGGGCUGCAGGCCAGGGGACAGCGAGGGUAGUGACACGUCACCCCCCCCACCCCCCAUCCUGUGGGGUCUAGCGCAGAUUAUUAAAAAAAAAAAAAGCGAGACUGCCGCCCCAGACUCACGCAGCAAGUCGGUGACGGUCGGGCAUCGACGCCUGGGGCCAAAUUCUGACCUAAACAAUGCCAGUGUAAAUCCAGAGUAACUCCACUGGGGCUAGUCCAGCUGCACAGUGGUGUAAUGAAAAUCAGGUGUAUUGGCUCCCAGCGCCAGGUCAGUUCCCUAGGAGAACAUCCUUACCCUCCUUAUACUGGGGUAGAGGGCAGCACGAUUUAUAGUGAAGGGGAUUAUUAUAAGAAUCAGGCUGUUGCGAAGGACUGCCGUGUGCAAAAUGUACUUCCCAAUUAUUAUACCUAUCCUUUGAUUACUGUGAAACUAUUCUGAAAAAAAAAUCACUGGAACAGUUCCCACCACAUACGUUUUAAAAAUAAAAAUAAAAAAUUAUUUACAUAAAUUUCAUGAUCAUACAGGAACGUUGCAGUUCAGGGUGUUACUAGAAGGUUUUCCUUUCUUUGUAAGGAAGUCCACCCCGUGCAGGUUUGCUGUGCAAGUCAGUGGCCUGCUUUUCAGAGCACCACAGCUCCCCUUGACUUCAGCAGAAGUUACGCUUCUCAGCACUUCUGCAAAGGAGGCCCCAGAAAUAUUGUAUUCUUGGUUAAUGCUGUUGUGACCCACUGUUAUGUACAGAUGUGUUUAGAAAAUCUGUAAUGUACAUUAAAAUGCACAUUCCAGAGAUCACCCUUAUGGUAAUUCUGAUUUUUAACAUUCCCUGAAUUAGGGGUUCUGAGCCUUUUUCUUUCUGCCCCCCCCCCCCCCCAACGUGCUAUAAAAACUCCAUGGCCCACCUGUGCCACAACAACUAGUUUUCUGCAUGUAAAAGCCAGGGCUGGCAUUAGGGGGUAGCAAGCAAGGCAAUUGUGUGGGGCUGCAUGCCAUGGGAGCCCUGCGACACUAAGUUGCUCAGGCUUCUCCUUUGGCCCUAGGGGGCAGGACUUAGGGCCCUGGGCUUCGGCUUUCUACCCUGGGCUCCAGCAAGUCUAACACUGGCCCUGCUUGGUGGCCCUUCUGAAACCUGCUUGUGGCCCCCCGGGGGCCCUGGACCCCUAGUUGAGAACCACUGCCCUGAAUAAUUUCUAACCACUUGAAGUAUGCAAAAUCAGUGCCCUCUUUUGAAAAUUUUGGCCUUGGACUAUACAGGAUAUACAGGGCUUUAUCAUGGUUCUGUAAUAUGGCUAGGUCCCUUCAGCAGAAACAGACUAACACGGCUGUUACUCAGAAACAAAAUAGGGCAUUAUAGUAUAGCAACAUCCCUGUGGCUUUGCAAAUUUGGUUGUGUAGACAGAUCCUAAGUGAAAAGUUGGGGGAGCUUUCCAGGGAAGGGAAUGUGGAGGUGUGGAAAAUAAAAGCUUUGAGGAAAACAGAGAGUACCUGAUUCUGCUGUCAUUGAAGUCAGUGGGAGUUUAGCCAUUGAUUCAGGCUCUGAAGUUAUAAAUCCUGAAAUAUAAAUCUGUGGUGUUUCUGCAGGAAAAUUUCAGUGCAAACUUUGUGUGUAUGUGGAGUAGUUACAAGAUUGGGCUUAAUGUAAGGUCACUUUGGGGCUUGCCAAAGCAUGAUGGUGCCGCUGGUAAUCCUUAUGAACAGGAGUUUUAAUGACUUCAGAAAUUCCAUGUCACCUUUUUUUUUUUUUUUUUUUUUGGUAAAGGCACCAAAAGCUAUUAGACAUUGUAUGGCUUGAUCACUUGUCAGUUGAACCAGCAUUUGCCUUAUAGGUGCAAACCUCAACAAAUAGUCCAAAGAGAUACAUUUCUAUUGUCAUUUAAUUUAAAAAUGUCCAGCCCAGUUUAAUUUUUAGACAGAUAUAAGUGGGGAGGGAGGAAUCAUCCCCACAAUGAGAGUUUGUGUGCCAAGUUUUAAUCAGGAGUGAUUUUUUUCAGUGGAGAAAUAGACCUGUGAAAAUUGGGGUUUAUAAUGAAAAUGCUGAUACAUGCUUUACUAUAGUGGUGCAAACAAGGUCCCAUAAUACUCAAAUAAAUUUGUUAGUCUCUAAGGUGCCACAAGUACUCCUUUUUUGGGGGGGUAAAUCCUGUUACUGAGAGAGAAAGUCAGCUUCAAUUAUCUUCCAAGAAGGCAUAUUUUCCCAUAAUUCUUGAUAGCUAUGAUUUACUGCUUGGAAGUAGUUAAAGGGUCUUCAUUUGAGCCUGUGCUCCCUAAACAUGCUAUCAUGAAUAUUGUGCUAAAGAAAAAGCAUACAAACUAUGAAUACCACAUUAAAAACCAAAAUCUCUUGCAAAGCCAUAGAAAUCAUGGAGGAUGGAGGGAGAAUGUCUUGGAGUCAGGCAUGAUUUACUUAUUGGCAAGUUUGAACUUUUAUUUUCACACACAGAAAAUAGGAUUUUUUUCACAAUUAUUUACAAUGUGUUUUUAAAUAAUCCUUUAUACCCCUCGGAGAUGGCUAUGGUUCCAUCUACCCCUCAGGAAAAUGCCUGAUGGAAAAGGAUAUGUUAUUGAAAGAUUGGGUAGGCUUUACACUUUGCCAUCUGACAGUAGGCAUCUCCAACAAUAACUAGUCCAAUAUGAACAGGGGGAAGAAGUCUUGCAUCACAGAUAGCAAAUGAGCCUUAAGAAGCUAGAUUGUGGUUCCUAACAGUGUAGUGCUAAAAGGAUAUGAAUUUUUGUAGAACUACAGAUGGCAAAGAAAACCUAUUAGGUCACUUUGCCAAUUCAACAGAUUUUUCUUUCCAUAGUAAAAGGCAUAUAUGGGUGCAUGGAAUACAACUUUGAGUUAAGGAACUAGAAGGAGAGGGUAGUGUCUGUAGUUAAGGCACAGAACUGGGAGGCAGUAGGGCAUGAGUUAUUUUUUUGGCUGUGGUGCAGAUAUCCUGUAGUCAGGCUAUGCUUUUCAAACCUGGGUGGCUCCCUAAAUUAGGCGUGUUUGUAGGUACCUAAAAUUGUGGUCUGCUUUUUCAGACACAUAGAGAACCCUGACAUCAGUGGGAGCUGGGAGGGUUCAACAACUCUGAAAAUCACAACAAUUUUUAGGUGUCUAAAUAUGGAUUUAAGUGUUUAAAUUAAAAAAAUAUUAAAAAAAGAAGUCUUGAUAAUGGAAUUAUCCCCACCGUUCAUCUCCGAAGACUCUUGGCCAGCUGAUGGUCUGGCUAUGAGUGAAUUUUCAGAUCCAGUCCAGUCCAGUGUCAGGCAAUGUACACACCAUUAUGAAGAUGCCAUUAUCUGUUCUUGGUUUAAAAGUUCUGGCUACUGCAAGCCAUUCAGGUAUAAGUGACUUUCCACUUCAGGGCCUUUGUUGUCAGAAGCUUGGCCUUAUCAACUGGGAACUGCAUUCUCAGCCUCAGAAGAACAAGUUUUACAAAACACUACGCAGUUCCAGCAACGAGUGGGAAAAAUGUGAGAAAUGUAGCAUACAUGUGGAUACACAAUUCACCUUUAUUAGCAAAAUCUGUUCGGACAGUGUGAUAUUCCCUCAUGGAGCAAUCUGCAUGGAACUUGUUGGGAGAAGCACAGGUUGCAGGAAGGAUGAGUUUGGAGGAGGCACCAGGAAGUCAGUUAGUUUGCUCAUGGCUGAAAUGCUAGCUGUAAUUGAAAGAUCUCUGUAAAUAGUUCUGUUAAUAGCCAGUUUAGUUUUAGAAACAGAGUGUCCUCUCAUGUUAUUACCCAGCACUUGGUUCAUGGAACACUUCCCACUUCCAUUAUUUAUGCAUUUAUUUCUUCUGCACUGAUCAACAAUCUUUAACCAAACAUUACAAAAAGUCAUCUCCAGGACCCAGUGCAACUCUCAGCCCUUCGUCUGAAAACAACUGGUAGCAGAGAUGAGCUUUGCAGCAUGCAUUGAAAAUCCAGUAACCUGGGCUCUGGUGGGCCAAAGAAGGAAUUCAGUUCCUGAGCCAAGUGGAGAGGUGGUCACUGAAACAGGCAGGGCCUUAUCAUAUAAUGUUUUAUGAGAUAAAGGUAACAGUUUAAAUUUCAUUCAGAUAUCAUCGGGUUGACAGUGCAGAUCAUAGAGCUCCAGUGUAAUGUGCUCCCUGCGGGAAACGCUGCUGGUAGGUAGACUGGGGAAGAACAUUGCUUCGGAAGAGAGCCACCUCCUUCUGCACUAGCUGAAGGUUCCAAAUGAUCUUGAGUUAUGGCAGCCAUGUAGCAACCCACUAUAAUAAUCCAAUCUGGAGGUGACAAAAGCAUGGGUGACCCACUAGGCAUCUCUAGGAUACAGGGAUGCCUGGCCGUACCCACUUUUUCCAGGCCAAGCUCACUGCACCACUAGCUGGAAGGGAACAGGUGUAGGAGCUAUUCUGUUGGCUCUAUGCCCCUGAAGGAUUCCCCUUCACAAAAGGAAUCUUCAUGCGGGCUUUGUAGCACUGGAGGAUCUGGUUCAAUGGGUGCGUGCUGAUCUUUUGUCAUAAAUACAUCAUUUUUUUGAGCCUGGUAUUGUAAUUCGUACAUGCACAGAACUCGCACUGAAAUCCGUAGGAGUUCCCUUUGUGCAGAUCGUGCAUGAUUGGGCCCCUGUAUUUCAGAAAACUUUCUGAAUGCAGACUGAAUUUCUUCCUCCUCUAUUCAUUGUUGUAUUACCUCACUUUAACAGGAACGACAAUCAGCUUGAUAAAUGGAUUAAAAGGUCACUGUUUUCCCUGUUGCUCCUAGACUUUCACACUGGAGCACACUUGUAAAAAGAUAACAUUUAUACAAAAAGCAAUUUCUUGGCUGGUUGUUUCCUGUAUUCCCCUCAGUAUCACUGAAGAUAUUUAUGCCUCCAAAUCAAUCCAGUUUCUCUUGCUUGAUUCUGCACUGCAGUCACAGAGUUUAUAUCAGUCUGUUGCUGUGAAAAUUAAUGUGACAACACAAAAUGCAGCAUUGUGACUAAAGGUGUGUGACAUACUCCUAGAGAAAUGAAAAAUGACUUGAAAUUCAUGGCACUAUUCCCCACCACACACACACCUCCAUCCCAUUCCAAAUCUGAUGGGACAAUUUUCAAAAGGGUCUAUAUUUUCCUGGCAAAAAAUGGGCACUAUUUUUACUGGAAAUUGGCAAUUUCUUGAGCAGAUCCAGUCUCAUUUGCAAAUGAAAGUAACUGUACUUUCCACAUUGGAAACACAUGGAAAUUCAUGUUUUGAGAACUCUUGCAGAACAAAAAUAGGCUCUGUCUCUGUUUUUGCACUAGUGUGGAUACACCAGUGUAGAUGUGAUGCACUGGUGCAUGAUGGGAACUCUAUUAGUGUGACUUAUCCUGGUGAUUACUGGGGUAAAUUAGACAUUUGCCAUGGUGUAACAGUUUUGAUGUUGCUACAUUACAUGUUGCCCUAGUCUCAGCAAGUCCAUAGCCAUGUUGUCAAAAUUACAAAUAAAGAUCAAACGUUUGGGACAAAAUGGUGCAAACAUUACAAAAUUUCACACAAGGUCCCAUGAAAUUGGUGAUAGCACACAGCACUAACUGUGACUCCAGUGAAGGUUUCACCAGGAGACAAUGGACUGAGAGGCAAAAAAUCCUUUAUUUAAAUACAGAUGUUGCAAGAAAAACAGGAAAAAAUUAUAGCCAGAGUGAAAGCUAAGUGAUCUGGGGCCAGAUUUCCAGAGAGGUGACUUGUCUUUUAGGGAUGCCAUUUGCCCUUGCUGGACUUAUCCCUGUAUUCUUGGACCUGCCAUUGAAUUGUGGAUGCAAAUCUAGUUGCAUUUCUGCUGGCAGAAAUCUGAUUGAAGGUGCAAGUCAGUGGUGUAAGUACUCACACUUGCUUGCAGAAUUCCAUAUGCGGAUGACAGUUUUGCAGGUGCAUCUUCCAUCUGCAGAGGGAGGGCAGGCCUCACCCAUUUUGGAAAUUUACUCCCUUUCAGCGUAUGUCUGACAGGUUUCACAUUUCCCCCCAGUUCUUGAAAUGGAUGGGGCAGAUUCUUGAGCCUCUUACUGCCUUGAGUAAUUCCAUUGACUCCAAUGGGCUAUUUGCAAAAGGAAUGGUUGCAAGACCAGAGGUACAAAUUUCAAAAGCAGCUACAAUUCCAUUGGUAUAAGGGAUUGAAGCACUUAGGCGCCUAAGUCCCAGGCCAGGUCUACUCUAGGUAUACUUUGCCGGUAUAGCCAUUCUGGUAUACUAGCACUCCUAGUGUGGACAAAGCUUAUACCAGCAAAACUGCAUGUUUGCCAGUACAGGUUAUUUCAUUCCCCAUGAGCUAACUGAGUUAUGCAGAAAAAGUCCAGUUUUGAUGGUAUAGCUACACCUAUCCCAGUGGCUUUUGCCAGCACAGCUGUGUCCAUCGGGAAUCUCACCUCUUCACACCCUUGACCAACAUGGCUAUAGACAGCAGAAGUCUGUAGUGGCCCCACUGACACUUCAGAUUGCUUUUUCACGGCAAAUUCUCUCAUGGUCCUUCUGUGGGUUUGUGCCACGACAUAUCUUUUUACUCAAACAUUUUAACUCGAUUUACACCUAUCCCUGCCACUAAUUGACUUGAUUUUCGGAGUGAUGGCUUUAACACACCAUUUGUUUUGUAUCAUGGUACUACUCCUUUUAGAAGUCAGUGCUUUCUACAGCAGAGGUAGCAUUAUGGAAAAGAAAGAACCAACUUUCCAGAUUCCAAAUCCUCACAGGCAUUGUAUUCCUUAAGAUAGGCAGCUAGAAUAUAUUUUCUCAUUACUGACAAAAAGAUAGAGGUGUUCUUUUGUGAGCACAAGGCAUCAUAUAAUUUGUAGCAGGCAUGAAUUAUUGCAGUGUCUCCAUCCAAACAAGUGAACAUCUGUAUCCCAUUUUCACUGGCACCACAAGAUACCUGGCGUAGCCCCAGAACUGUAUGUUUAGCUACAAGGGUUUAAAAUAUGCAGUAAUUUGCUGUUGUGUUAUCUUCUGGUAUUCUCUGCUUUGGAAAAAAUACUUUAUUAAUGGAGUCCUCCCACUGUCUAUUGGCUUUGCUCUAGCCCAGA